rnacentral:rRNA from 1 species
AGCGAACGCUGGCGGCAGGCUUAACACAUGCAAGUCGAACGCAUCCUUCGGGGUGAGUGGCAGACGGGUGAGUAACACGUGGGAACAUACCUUUUGGUUCGGAAUAACUCAUGGAAACGUGAGCUAAUACCGGAUACGCCCUUUUGGGGAAAGAUUUAUUGCCGAAAGAUUGGCCCGCGUCUGAUUAGCUAGUUGGUGAGGUAAUGGCUCACCAAGGCGACGAUCAGUAGCUGGUCUGAGAGGAUGAUCAGCCACACUGGGACUGAGACACGGCCCAGACUCCUACGGGAGGCAGCAGUGGGGAAUAUUGGACAAUGGGCGCAAGCCUGAUCCAGCCAUGCCGCGUGAGUGAUGAAGGCCUUAGGGUUGUAAAGCUCUUUUGUCCGGGAAGAUAAUGACUGUACCGGAAGAAUAAGCCCCGGCAAACUUCGUGCCAGCAGCCGCCGUAA